CGAGCGCAUCGCGGGAGCUGCCGCGUUAUUUUCUAAAUUAUUUCGCGCCGAUUUUUGAUACCGCAUUUUGACUUCGUCACAAUUAAGGCAAUAAUUAACACAAUUUGAGACGCAUACUUAUCACGCGAGCAGAUGUUGUGGGCUUUACCGCAGCAGAUAUCUAAUAGAGAAGAAGCAGUCGCGUGGCUCUAGAGGAUGUGAUACCUGGGAGAUGCCGCGCCGGAGGAUUCGGCUCGAGCCUGGCAGAGUUGGCGCGAAGAGACGAAGCAGACGACCAGCCAACUCUUAGGGGUUGCU